GGCCUGAUGGUCUAGUAGUAUGAUUCCUUGUUAGGGCUAUAUAGUGAUUAUCGAGGAGGUCCCGGGUUCAAUUCCCGGUCAGGCCC